rnacentral:misc_RNA from 1 species
GAUGAAGAACGUAGCGAAAUGCGAUAAGUAAUGUGAAUUGCAGAAUUCAGUGAAUCAUCGAAUCUUUGAACGCAUCUUGCGCUCCUUGGUAUUCUGAGGAGCAUGCCUGUUUGAGUGUCAUUAAAUUCUCAACUACACUGACUUUGAAUUGGUGUGGCUUGGAUUUGGGGGGAAAAUUGUUGUGGGCUUUUUGUAUAGUCUGCUCCCCUGUAAUUGAUUAGCGGUACCUUUGUGGAACUGUCUACAGGUGUGAUAAUUAUCUACAUCUUAGACAUCUGCUGGAAUGCUGCUUUCUAAACCUUACUUGUAUUGACAAUCUUGACCUCAAAUCAGGUAGGACUACCCGCUGAACUUAAGCAUAUCAAUAAGCGGAGGA